GACGAACGCUGGCGGCGUGCUUAACACAUGCAAGUCGAACGGAAAGACCCUGCUUUUGUGGGGUGCUCGAGUGGCGAACGGGUGAGUAACACGUGAGUAACCUGCCCUUGACUUUGGGAUAACUUCAGGAAACUGGGGCUAAUACCGGAUAGGAGCUCCUGCUGCAUGGUGGGGGUUGGAAAGUUUCGGCGGUUGGGGAUGGACUCGCGGCUUAUCAGCUUGUUGGUGGGGUAGUGGCUUACCAAGGCUUUGACGGGUAGCCGGCCUGAGAGGGUGACCGGCCACAUUGGGACUGAGAUACGACCCAGACUCCUACGGGAGGCAGCAGUGGGGAAUAGUGCACAAUGGGCGGAAGCCUGAUGCAGCAACGCCGCGUGCGGGAUGACGGCCUUCGGGUUGUAAACCGCUUUCGCCUGUGACGAAGCGUGAGUGACGGUAAUGGGUAAAGAAGCACCGGCUAACUACGUG
rnacentral:rRNA from 1 species